CUAAAACUCAAAGGAAUAGACGGGGACCCGCACAAGCGGAGGAGCAUGUGGUUUAAUUCGAUGAUAAGCGAGGAACCUUACCUGGGCUUGAAAGACAUCUGCAAGCCGUCCGAAAGGAUGGCCGCCUUCGAGGGUGGUGUCUAGGUGCUGCAUGGUUGCCGUCAGCUCGUGUCGUGAGAUGUACCGUUAAGUCGGAUAACGAGCGCAACCCCUAUUCCGUGUUGUAUUUCACGGGAGACUGCCCCGGAUAACGGGGAGGAAGGUGGGGAUGACGUCAAAUCAGCAUGGCUCUUACGUCCAGGGCUACACACGUGCUACAAUGGCUACGACAAAGGGUUGCCAAGCCGUAAGGCGGAGCUAAUCCCAACAAACGUAGCCUCAGUUCGGAUUGAGGGCUGAAAUUCGCCCUCAUGAAGUCGGAUUCGCUAGUAAAUGCAUAUCAGCCACGAUGCAUUGAAUACGUUCUCGGGUCUUGUACUCACCGCCCGUCACGUCAAGAGAGUCGGAAAUACCCGAAGGCCCCGAUGAGGGGACGAAGGUAGAGCCGGCGAUAGGGACGAAGUCGUAACAAGGCAUCCGUAGCGGAAGCUGUGGAUGGAUCACCUCCUUUCUAGGGAGUAACUU
rnacentral:rRNA from 1 species